UCUUAUGAAAAGAUUUGAAGGCACCCGAUUUUGUCUGAUCUUGGAAGGUAAGCAAGAGCCAGCUCUGGUUAGUACGUUGAUGAGAGACCGCUAAUGAAUACCUGGUGCUGUAGGCU
rnacentral:rRNA from 1 species